rnacentral:lncRNA from 1 species
GAACUGGGACCGGUGAUAUUGAUCUGACCCUCUGCAGUGUUCCGAGGGCUUGCUUACCCACUCCAAGUCUGUGAGUCCUAAUGAAGCAGGGCUAAGUCCGCUGAAGACCACCUUUGGGAGACUUUCAGAUCCUGGAGUGACUGCUCCCUGAAGAGAGUCCUGGUCCUAGGAAUCUGGGAUUCUACCUGAAGUCCCAAAGAUGAACAAAUGGUAGAGAGAGGCACCUGAGUGAGCCUGCUUCCUAAACGACUUCUCAGAACUGCCUGCAGCUGGGCUGCCUAACAGAAGCUCAAGUUCUGGGAUUCCACUCUUGAAGAAAAAUGAAUCUGCCCUUAACUUAGUGAGCCCUCAGCCUGUAGGUCAGGACAUGUAGUUCUUGCUACCCUGAAACUCACUAUGUACGACAGACUGGCCCCAACACACUGAGAUCUGCCUGGUUCUGUCUCCCUGGUGCUGAGAUCAAAUGCACGCGUAUACUUAGGGUACAGGACUUUUAUUUAUAUGUUAUGGC